GAUGAACGCUGGCGGCGUGCCUAAUACAUGCAAGUCGAGCGAACAGACGAGGAGCUUGCUCCUCUGACGUUAGCGGCGGACGGGUGAGUAACACGUGGAUAACCUACCUAUAAGACUGGGAUAACUUCGGGAAACCGGAGCUAAUACCGGAUAAUAUAUUGAACCGCAUGGUUCAAUAGUGAAAGACGGUUUUGCUGUCACUUAUAGAUGGAUCCGCGCCGCAUUAGCUAGUUGGUAAGGUAACGGCUUACCAAGGCAACGAUGCGUAGCCGACCUGAGAGGGUGAGCGGCCACACUGGAACUGAGACACGGUCCAGACUCCUACGGGAGGCAGCAGUAGGGAAUCUUCCGCAAUGAGCGAAAGCUUGACGGAGCAACGCCGCGUGAGUGAUGAAGGUCUUCGGAUCGUAAAACUCUGUUAUUAGGGAAGAACAAAUGUGUAAGUAACUAUGCACGUCUUGACGGUACCUAAUCAGAAAGCCACGGCUAACUACGUG
rnacentral:rRNA from 1 species